rnacentral:rRNA from 1 species
AGGGCGUAUGGUGGAUGCCUUGGCAGACAGGACCGAUGAAGGACGUGGUGGGCCGCGAUAGGCCUCGGGGAGCCGCCGAGCGGGCUUUGAUCCGAGGGUGUCCGAAUGGGGAAACCCGCCGCCUGUUGUGGGGCGGCACCGCAGUUUUGCGGGGGGUACGCAGGGAAGUGAAACAUCUCAGUACCUGCAGGAAAGGAUAUUCCGUGAGUAGUGGCGAGCGAAAGCGGAUGAUGGCCAAACCUUGCGCGUGUGAUAGCCGCCGGGCGUUGCGCGUGGGGUGUUGUGGGGUGUCGUGUCCGGUUCCCGGUGGGGCCGGCGGCAGUUAGAAAGUCGUGUGUUAGGCGAACGGGAUUGGAUUCCCGGCCGUAGAGGGUGAUGGCCCCGUAGCCGUAUGCGCAUGGCCUGCCGAUCGACGUUCCCCAAGUAGCGCGGGCCUCGUGGAAUCCCGUGUGAAUCCGCCCAGACCGUUGGGUAAGCCUGAAUAUUCCUGUCUGACCGAUAGUGAACUAGUACCGUGAGGGAAAGGUGAAAAGCACCCCGGGAGGGGAGUGAAACAGUCCCUGAAACCGUGCGCCUACGAUCCGUCGGAGCCUCCCUGGUGGGGUGACGGCGUGCCUAUCGAAAAAUGAGUCUGCGAGUCAGUGGCAUGUGGCGAGGUUAACCCGGGUGGGGGAGCCGUAGCGAAAGCGAGUCUUAAAAGGCGUUUUGAGUCGCGUGUCCUGGACCCGAAGCGGGAUGAUCUAGCCCUGAGCAGGUUGAAGCGUGGGUAAGACCGCGUGGAGGACCGAACCCACCUGGGUUGAAAACCGGGGGGAUGACUUGGGGUUAGGGGUGAAAGGCCAAUCAAAUUCCGUGAUAGCUGGUUCUCUCCGAAAUGCAUUUAGGUGCAGCGUCGCGUCAUUGCCUGCAGGGGGUAGAGCUACCGGAUGCUUGCGGGCCCGUACCGGGUACCAAUAGCAGCCGAACUCCGAAUACCUGUCAGGUGUAUCGCGGCAGUGAGUCGGCGGGGGAUAAGCUCCGUCGUCGAAAGGGAAACAGCCCAGACCGUCGUCUAAGGUCCCGAAGCGUGUGCUAAGUGGGAAAGGAUGUGGAGUCGCAUAGACAGCCAGGAGGUUGGCUUAGAAGCAGCCAUCCUUGAAAGAGUGCGUAACAGCUCACUGGUCUAGUGGUUCCGCGCCGACAAUGUAGCGGGGCUCAAGCACACCACCGAAGACGCGGCAGCAGCGUUUGCUGCUGGGUAGGAGAGCGUUCCGCAUGGGUCGAAGCGGCGGCGUGAGCCGGCCGUGGACUUUGCGGAAGUGAGAAUGCAGACAUGAGUAGCGUAAGACGGGUGGGAAUCCCGUCCGCUGGAUGACCAAGGGUUCCGGGGCCACGUUCGUCGUCCCCGGGUGAGUCGGGUCCUAAGGCGAGGCCGACAGGCGUAGUCGAAUGGAUGAACGGGUUGAUAUUCCCGUACCGGCAUGAGGCCGACCGGGCCGACGCGGGGACGCUAACCUCCGCGCCUUCCUUCCUCCUUCCUUCGGGUUGGCGGGGGCUGGCGUGUUGGGAUCCUCCCUGCAGGUAGGCGAGCGCAGGAGUGACGCAGAUGGGUAGCCGGCCGCGGAGGUGGUUUUCCGUGGCCAAGCGCGCAGCCCGUCCCCCAGGCAAAUCCGGGGGGCAUGGUGGGUGAGGCGUUAUGGGCGUCCCCGUUGGGGGGCGUUCCGGUGAUCCCGGCUGCCGAGAAAAGCUUCGGCGUGAGGCUUGGUGCCGCCCGUACCCCAAACCGACACUGGUGGUCUGGUAGAGUAUACCGAAGCGAUCGAGCGAAUCCUGGUCAAGGAACUCGGCAAAUUGCUCCCGUGCCUUCGGCAUAAGGGAGACCCCCGAUGGUGAACGUCCUCGCGGCGGGAGCUUUUGGGGGUGGCACAGGCCAGGGGGUAGCGACUGUUUACCAAAAACACAGGUGCAUGCCAAGACGUAAGUCGCCGUAUAUGCACUGACGCCUGCCCGGUGCCGGAAGGUUAAGAGGAUCCGUCAGCCCUUCGGGGUGAAGCGGUGAAUUCAAGCCCCGGUAAACGGCGGUGGUAACUAUAACCAUCCUAAGGUAGCGAAAUUCCUUGUCGGGUAAGUUCCGACCUGCACGAAUGGCGUAACGACUUCCCCGCUGUCUCGACCAGGAGCUCGGCGAAAUUGCAGUACGAGUAAAGAUGCUCGUUAAGCGCAGAAGGACGAAAAGACCCCGGGACCUUUACUAUACCUUGGUAUUGUCGUUAGGUGUGGAUUGUGUAGCAUAGGCGGGAGACGCUGAUGCCGUGGCGCCAGCCAUGGUUGAGUCGCAAGGUGAAAUACCGCUCUGUCCAUAUUUGGCGUCUAACCUCGACGAGUGAGCCUCGUCAGGGACAGUGCCUGGCGGGUAGUUUAACUGGGGCGGUUGCCUC